rnacentral:rRNA from 1 species
CUACGGGGGGCAGCAGUGAGGAAUAUUGGUCAAUGGGCGGAAGCCUGAACCAGCCAUGCCGCGUGAAGGACGACUGCUUUCUGAGUUGUAAACUUCUUUUAAACGGGAGGAACUGCGCUACGAGUAGCGCGCUGACAGUACCGUUUGAAUAAGCAUCGGCUAACUCCGUGCCAGCAGCCGCGGUAAUACGGAGGAUGCAAGCGUUAUCCGGAUUCACUGGGCUUAAAGGGUGCGCAGGCUGUUUAUUAAGCAGGCGGUGAAAUUCCGGGGCUCAACCCCGGGACUGCCGCCUGAACUGAUAGACUUGAGUCGCUUUGACGUUUCCGGAAUUGGGCAAGUAGCGGUGAAAUGCACAGAUAUGCCCAGGAACACCGAUUGCGAAGGCAGGAAACGAAAAGUGUACUGACGCUGAGGCACGAAAGCGCGGGUAGCGAACAGGAUUAGAUACCCCCGUAGUC